UUGUCUGGACCAGAAAGAUUGGAUUGUACUCGAUCGGGACGCUGGACAGACUCCCCACCAAUGUGUGAAGCCAUCAAGUGCCCAGAACUCUUUGCCCCAGAGCAGGGCAGCCUGGAUUGUUCUGACACUCGUGGAGAAUUCAAUGUUGGCUCCACCUGCCAUUUCUCUUGUGACAACGGCUUUAAGCUGGAGGGGCCCAAUAAUGUGGAAUGCACAACUUCUGGAAGAUGGUCAGCUACUCCACCAACCUGCAAAGGCAUAGCAUCACUUCCUACUCCAGGGGUGCAAUGUCCAGCCCUCACCACUCCUGGGCAGGGAACCAUGUACUGUAGGCAUCAUCCGGGAACCUUUGGUUUUAAUACCACUUGUUACUUUGGCUGCAACGCUGGAUUCACACUCAUAGGAGACAGCACUCUCAGCUGCAGACCUUCAGGACAAUGGACAGCAGUAACUCCAGCAUGCAGAGCUGUGAAAUGCUCAGAACUACAUGUUAAUAAGCCAAUAGCGAUGAACUGCUCCAACCUCUGGGGAAACUUCAGUUAUGGAUCAAUCUGCUCUUUCCAUUGUCUAGAGGGCCAGUUACUUAAUGGCUCUGCACAAACAGCAUGCCAAGAGAAUGGCCACUGGUCAACUACCGUGCCAACCUGCCAAGGACCAUUGACUAUCCAGGAAGCCCUGACUUACUUUGGUGGAGCGGUGGCUUCUACGAUAGGUCUGAUAAUGGGUGGGACGCUCCUGGCUUUGCUAAGAAAGCGUUUCAGACAAAAAGAUGAUGGGAAAUGCCCCUUGAAUCCUCACAGCCACCUAGGAACAUAUGGAGUUUUUACAAACGCUGCAUUUGACCCGAGUCCUUAAGGUGGUGAUGAUGUGGCCUUGCCUGCAAAGCAGAAGUCAGGACUGCUGAAAAAUGUUUACGAACUGUUAUGGAGUCAAUUCCCUAUGCUACCUGCUGGAAAAACAAAAAUAAUCUGAUGCUAUCCCUCUCCCAAAAAGUGGGUAGUUGAGUGUCCUACAAAAAGCCUGAAUGGCAGAAUAUUCGAAAUCUAGAAAGAAAAGAUUAUGCUGCGCCUCAGGGUGUAGAUAUGAUGAGCAAUUUUUUUCUUUCUUUUAUUUUUUUAAGGAAAUGAUAAUUAUUUAAAUUUCUUUGGUCUCAUUUCCAGAGACCUGUCCUUUUCCUGGUCUCCUCAUUCAGCCUCCAUAUGAUCCUGUUGUGAACAUCAAGUUUCCUGCUACACUGGACUUAACUAUAAUGCAUUUGCUGCAGGUUUCCAUAAACACCCAUGAAUCAAAGACAUGGAAUUACCUUAGAUUAGCUCUGGACCAGCCUGUUGGACCCGCUCUGGACCAACCCUGUUUCCUGAGUUUGGGAUUGUGGUACAAUCUCAAAUUCUCAACCUACCACCCCUUCCUGUCCCACCUCUUCUCUUCCUGUAACACAAGCCACAGAAGCCAGGAGCAAAUGUUUCUGCAGUAGUCUCUGUGCUUUGACUCACCUGUUACUUGAAAUACCAGUGAACCAAAGAGACUGGAGCAUCUGACUCACAAGAAGACCAGACUGUGGAGAAAUAAAAAUACCUCUUUAUUUUUUGAUUGAAGGAAGGUUUUCUCCACUUUGUUGGAAAGCAGGUGGCAUCUCUAAUUGGAAGAAAUUCCUGUAGCAUCUUCUGGAGUCUCCAGUGGUUGCUGUUGAUGAGGCCUCUUGGACCUCUGCUCUGAGGCUUCCAGAGAGUCCUCUGGAUGGCACCAGAGGCUGCAGAAGGCCAAGAAUCAAGCUAGAAGGCCACAUGUCACCGUGGACCUUCCUGCCACCAGUCACUGUCCCUCAAAUGACCCAAAGACCAAUAUUCAAAUGCGUAAUUAAAAGAAUUUUCC
rnacentral:lncRNA from 1 species